UACGAAGGGUGCAAGCGUUGCUCGGAAUUAUUGGGCGUAAAGGGUAGGUAGGUGGUGAUAUUUGUCUGGGGUGAAAUCCCUGAGCUUAACUCAGGAAGUGCCUUGGAAACGGUAUCACUGGAGUACUGGAGAGGUUCGUAGAAUUCCUGGUGUAGCGGUGAAAUGCGUAGAGAUCAGGAGGAAUAUCAGAGGCGAAGGCGACGAACUGGACAGUAACUGACACUAAACUACGAAAGCGUGGGUAGCAAACAGG
rnacentral:rRNA from 1 species